rnacentral:snRNA from 1 species
GUACCCUGGUUUCUCUUCAGAUCGCAUAAAUCUUUCGCCUUUUACUAAAGAUUUCCGUGGAGAGGAACAACUCUGAGUUUUAACCAAAUUUUUUGCAGGCCUUGUAUUUGACAAGGCU